UAGAAUCAGCUGAUUGUAAAGGAAACCACUUCCUCUCCGGAGAAAAAGAAGUUUCUUGUCCAGGCCACAAAUUAAACCAAGGGAACAGGACGAUGACUGACCAAAGGAGGCUUGGGGCAGAACAGCAGCCUUUUAUCUCUGCAUCCACAUCCUUCCCAGUCACCACCGGUGUCAACACAGAUAUCCUGAAUGUUUUUUUUUUUAUUCUGUGCAGCCACAGGGCCUAAGGAUGGGGAGGCAGAGGAGCAGGGGCAGCACGCUGUGAGGAUUACACACUGGGACGAGCAGCGAUCCCUGCUCCACGCCGAUGACUGAAGCCUCGCAUCUGUCCCAGCUCGAAGGCUGCAAGCCCGCGUGCUUCGCCAGAAUCCCUCGGCGAGGAUUUUCCACUAUCAGGUUACACCCUGCUUUUUUGCAGCCUCACUCACGCAGCCCUCCCCCGGCCCCCCGCCAGCGCAGCCAUUUGUCUUCCUCCCGGGCCUUUGAUAGAGCGUGGUAUUCCCGAGCAACUCCAGCAAUCCUGCAGGACCCCACGACCCUCCCGACAGAGAGCCAACCCUGCCCGAGACACGGCUCCCAACCCAAGGAGCAGUUUCAAGGCACUGACGUCGCCUUGAAAGAGUGAGAGCCAGUGUCGCACCUCCGUUCCCCACCCUGUGGGAAGGGAGAUGCUGGGAAGUUUUCCAUUUGAGCAUCUUUCAGGGGGACGGUGGCUUUCUGAGCUAAUUUUGUAGCGCAAGCAGUGUGUUUUUUUUUUUUGUUUCAAAAUAAGUCAUCGGGAACAUCUGCUCUCCUCCACAUCCUCUGCCUAAAAAUAAAGCCCCACAUGUUGGAUUUUCACAGAAGUGCCUCCCGACAAACUCUCAGGCUCGCUUCUCCUGUUCUCGAGGAAGAGCAAUUUUUGCCCGGCUUCCCCAGCAUCCAUUACAAUGCCCUGCGCUUCCUGCGGCCGUUACCGCUUGCUCUCACAGGAAAUUAACUCAGCUUCAGCUACAGCUGCAAAUUUUCUAUCCAAAAGAGAUACCUUGAACCUGGCUUAACCACGCUUCACACUCCAAUUACCUUUCUCACAGGACAGCUGGGCGGAGGCCUCCUACAUCAUUUGUGUUUCAAUCCCCAGCAGAGCCUGUUACAUAUUGAAAAGCUCAAGAUUGUGGUAGGUGAUUUCCCAGUUAAUGCCUCUCAGGAUCUCAGUACCCAGAAGAAGAAAAACAUCUCCUUUUUAUGGCAUCAAAUAAUCCUACAGCUUCAGAAGCAAGCUCGGAGGAUCAAAGGAGCUGACAGAUUUGUAAACUCUUCGAGACAAGAGCAUUUUAAGAGUGCAUUGCAGACAUUUUAAGAACACUUGCUCUUUUGGGACAGGAAAAAGCACUUGAGAUUAAGACUGAAAAGCAGCAAGCCCUGCAAAAUAAAGCUUCUUACCAUGCACUGGCACCCACCCGGCUCUAAAGAAGGCAGGGAGAAAGGGGAGCAACUUUUCUCUCUGCAAGGCAGAUUACAAUCUUCUCUCAAGGAAGCUUCAGAGACGUGCAACUUCCUCCAUUGCCUCCCCUUCCGCCCCUGAAACCUCAAAGCUGCUAAAACCCCACUGAAAUGGGCCAACUAUUUGGGUACGGGCAUGAGAACGGGGCAACGCGCUCACAGCCACGUUCAGCAACCCAAAUCCUCCAGCUGCGAAAUGCUUUGCAUUUAAAAGCAGAAGCCUCCAGCUUGCAACCUCAGGGCAUUUAAUAGCACUUUAAUUAACGUCUGAUCCCCGUUUCGAAAGGGAAACAGCGAGGUCAGGCUUUGGGAGGUUUAAGCUCCGCGGAAGGCGAGCAGAGGCAGGCCCCAGCACCUGCAGUGAGCAGCUCCGUGCCCGGGGCCCACGUGCGUCCUAGCGUGGGAUCAGAGCUGCGAGCGUUUGGCAGCCAGGCCAGGCACUGCCAAGCUGCAGAGCAGCUCCGGCCCCCCCAAGAAGCCAGAGGGAGUCGGGGUGCUGGGCGAGGCGCCCACCUCCCCGGCUGAGGCUGGGAUUUGCAAGCACGAGGUGUCUGACUCGCUCAAGGUCACGCAGCGCCUUAAUAGCAGAGCCAGGAACAGCCCAGGAUUCCCAACUCUCCGCCCUGCAUCUUCAAUUGCUAGCUCCUUCUUCCCUCGAGGAACAUCGGGGAUUUAAUAUUCUCUCCACCGCUUGGCGCAGAAACCAAACGGAGCACUUUGCUUUUACCACAGACGCAGCUUUGGCCAUGGUGAAGCAGAUGGCAUUUCCUCCCAAGCCCUCUCCUGCCCUCCACCACCAGGUACAGAAGCCAGCCCGUGCCUCUCUUUCCAAUAUUUUAAUGAGUCGCUACAUCUUACACUCAUAAUUAUAAAAGAAUAAGAAUCCAUAAAAAUAUUUUCUUUUCAUAAUACGCACUUAAAAUACUCCAGGGCAAGUCAA